GCGGCCGCGGCGCGGUACGCCGCUGCGUACCCGGCGCGGUACGCCUGGUGCGCCACGCGCCUCGUCGUCGUCCCGCUCGACGCGGCCGCC
rnacentral:tRNA from 1 species